rnacentral:rRNA from 1 species
UACGUAGGGUCCGAGCGUUGUCCGGAAUUACUGGGCGUAAAGAGCUCGUAGGUGGUUUGUCGCGUUGUUCGUGAAAACUCACAGCUCAACUGUGGGCGUGCGGGCGAUACGGGCAGACUAGAGUACUGCAGGGGAGACUGGAAUUCCUGGUGUAGCGGUGGAAUGCGCAGAUAUCGGGAAGAACACCCGUGGCGAAGGCGGCUCUCUGGGACGGUACUGACGCUGAGACGCGAAAGCGUGGGGAGCGAACAGG